UACGAAGGGGGGCUAGCGUUGUUCGGAAUCACUGGGCGUAAAGCGCACGUAGGCGGAUCUUUAAGUCAGGGGUGAAAUCCCGAGGCUCAACCUCGGAACUGCCUUUGAUACUGGGGAUCUCGAGUCCGGGAGAGGUGAGUGGAAUUGCGAGUGUAGAGGUGAAAUUCGUAGAUAUUCGCAAGAACACCAGUGGCGAAGGCGGACUCACUGGCCCGGUACUGACGCUGAGGUGCGAAAGCGUGGGGAGCAAACAGG
rnacentral:rRNA from 1 species